UCGAUGAUGGUGCCGAGCGUCAGCACAUACGCGCCCGCCACGCAGCGGCGCGGCCAGCCUUCAAUCAGUCAAGUCACACCAGGGCGUCGCAAAGCCUGCGCGCCACACGAUCGG
rnacentral:sRNA from 1 species